rnacentral:rRNA from 1 species
AUUGAACGCUGGCGGCAGGCUUAACACAUGCAAGUCGAACGAGUGGCGGACGGGUGAGUUAUGCUUGGGUCUCUCGGUUAUGGAGGGGGAUAUCUACGAGACAGUGUCUCUAAUCCCGCGUUCCCUAGUAUGCCCCCAAGUGGGAUGAGGUAGUUGGUGGUGUAAAGGCACACCUAGCCGACGAUCUCUAGCUGGUCUGAGAGGAUGAACAGCCACACUGGGACUGAGACACGGUCCAGACUCCGACGGGAGGCAGCAGUGGGGAAUAUUGCGCAAUGGGGGCAACCUGAAGCAGCCAUGCCGCGUGAAUGAAGAAGGCCUUAGGGUUGUAAAGUUCUUUCGGUAGCGAGGCGUUAACUACAGAAGAAGCACCGGCUAACUCCGUGCCAGCAGCCGCGGUAAUUC